rnacentral:rRNA from 1 species
UCAAGAAACUUCCACAAUGGGCGAAAGCCUGAUGGAGCGACGUCGCGUGAUGGACGAAGUGCUUCGGCACGUAAACAUCUUUUAUGUGGGAUGAAAUUAUUGACAGUACCACAUGAAUAAGGGGCUCCUAACUCUGUGCCAGCAGGAGCGGUAAUACAGAGGCCCCAAGCGUUAUCCGGAAUCACUGGGCGUAAAGGGUGUCGAGGCGGUUCGUAUUAGUCGUUCGUAAAAUCUACGAGCUUAACUUGUAGGCGGCGAACGAAACGGUACGACUUGAGGUUUGGAGAGGUGCGUGGAACUCACGGUGUAGGGGUGAAAUCCGUUGAUAUCGUGGGGAACACCAAAGGCGAAGGCAGCGCACUGGCCAAAAUCUGACGCUCACACACGAAAGCUAGGGUAGCGAAGAGGAUUAGAUACCCCCGUAGUCCCUGAGCGGGCUGGCAAGGCGCAU